rnacentral:rRNA from 2 species
CAAGUCGAACGAUGAAGCCCAGCUUGCUGGGUGGAUUAGUGGCGAACGGGUGAGUAACACGUGAGUAACCUGCCCUUAACUCUGGGAUAAGCCUGGGAAACUGGGUCUAAUACCGGAUAGGAGCGCCCACCGCAUGGUGGGUGUUGGAAAGAUUUAUCGGUUUUGGAUGGACUCGCGGCCUAUCAGCUUGUUGGUGAGGUAAUGGCUCACCAAGGCGACGACGGGUAGCCGGCCUGAGAGGGUGACCGGCCACACUGGGACUGAGACACGGCCCAGACUCCUACGGGAGGCAGCAGUGGGGAAUAUUGCACAAUGGGCGCAAGCCUGAUGCAGCGACGCCGCGUGAGGGAUGACGGCCUUCGGGUUGUAAACCUCUUUCAGUAGGGAAGAAGCGAAAGUGACGGUACCUGCAGAAGAAGCACCGGCUAACUACGUGCCAGCAGCCGCGGUAAUACGUAGGGUGCGAGCGUUAUCCGGAAUUAUUGGGCGUAAAGAGCUCGUAGGCGGUUUGUCGCGUCUGUCGUGAAAGUCCGGGGCUUAACCCCGGAUCUGCGGUGGGUACGGGCAGACUAGAGUGCAGUAGGGGAGACUGGAAUUCCUGGUGUAGCGGUGGAAUGCGCAGAUAUCAGGAGGAACACCGAUGGCGAAGGCAGGUCUCUGGGCUGUAACUGACGCUGAGGAGCGAAAGCAUGGGGAGCGAACAGGAUUAGAUACCCUGGUAGUCCAUGCCGUAAACGUUGGGCACUAGGUGUGGGGACCAUUCCACGGUUUCCGCGCCGCAGCUAACGCAUUAAGUGCCCCGCCUGGGGAGUACGGCCGCAAGGCUAAAACUCAAAGGAAUUGACGGGGGGCCCGCACAAGCGGCGGAGCAUGCGGAUUAAUUUGAUGCAACGCGAAGAACCUUACCAAGGCUUGACAUGUUCCUCGAUCGCUGUACAGAUACGGUUUCCCCUUUGGGACGGGUUCACAGGUGGUGCAUGGUUGUAGUCAGCUCGUGUCGUGAGAUGUAGGGUUAAGUCCCGCAACGAGCGCAACCCUCGUUCCAUGUUGCCAGCACGUCGUGGUGGGGAAUCAUGGGAGGCUGCCGGGGUCAACUAGGAGGAAGGUGAGGACGACGUCAAAUCAUCAUGCCCCUUAUGUCUUGGGCUUCACGCAUGCUACAAUGGCCGGUACAAUGGGUUGCGAUACUGUGAGGUGGAGCUAAUCCCAAAAAGCCGGUCUCAGUUCGGAUGGGGGUGUGCAACUCGACCCCAUGAAGUCGGAGUCGCUAGUAAUCGCAGAUCAGCAACGAUGCGGUGAAUACGUUCCCGGGCCUUGUACACCCCGCCCGUCAAGUCACGAAAGUUGGUAACACCCGAAGCCGGUGGCCUAACCCUU